CAAGUCGAACGGCAGCACGGGUGCUUGCACCUGGUGGCGAGUGGCGAACGGGUGAGUAAUACAUCGGAACGUACCUUAUCGUGGGGGAUAACGCAGCGAAAGUUGCGCUAAUACCGCAUACGCCCUGAGGGGGAAAGCGGGGGACCGUAAGGCCUCGCGCGAUUAGAGCGGCCGAUGUCUGAUUAGCUUGUUGGUGAGGUAAAAGCUCACCAAGGCGAUGAUCAGUAGCUGGUCUGAGAGGACGAUCAGCCACACUGGGACUGAGACACGGCCCAGACUCCUACGGGAGGCAGCAGUGGGGAAUUUUGGACAAUGGGGGCAACCCUGAUCCAGCAAUGCCGCGUGAGUGAAGAAGGCCUUCGGGUUGUAAAGCUCUUUUGUCAGGGAAGAAACAGCAGCUCUAACACAGUCUGCGAAUGACGGUACCUGAAGAAUAAGCACCGGCUAACUACGUGCCAGCAGCCGCGGUAAUACGUAGGGUGCGAGCGUUAAUCGGAAUUACUGGGCGUAAAGCGUGCGCAGGCGGUUAUACAAGACAGGCGUGAAAUCCCCGGGCUUAACCUGGGAAUGGCGUCUGUGACUGUAUAGCUAGAGUGUGUCAGAGGGGGGUGGAAUUCCACGUGUAGCAGUGAAAUGCGUAGAUAUGUGGAGGAACACCAAUGGCGAAGGCAGCCCCCUGGGAUAACACUGACGCUCAUGCACGAAAGCGUGGGGAGCAAGCAGGAUUAGAUACCCUGGUAGUCCACGCCCUAAACGAUGCUGACUAGUUGUUGGGAAUUUACAUUCUCAGUAACGUAGCUAACGCGUGAAGUCAGCCGCCUGGGGAGUACGGUCGCAGAUUAAAACUCAAAGGAAUUGACGG
rnacentral:rRNA from 1 species